rnacentral:misc_RNA from 1 species
CAGGAAUGAGAAAUCUGUGUGGAUGCUCGCCCAAUAGACUGGGCAUCAACCUUACUGAGCAUCAACAGUCAACAAUAAGAGUGAAUUUGUAGGCAAAAAACUCAAGAUACAACGACUUUUUAGCUAUUAGUUUAUAAAUAUGAAAAUCAGAUAUUAAUAAGUAGGUUUACUCUAUUAAAAUUACCACCAAGCUUUCUAUUAGUGGAUUUCUUAUUCUCAAUCAAACCUCUAACUACCGAUUUGCCACUUGGACUGGUGAUCGGAGCAGUGAAUUGAUUUUUGAAACUUAAGCAAAAGAUAAUUUUGAUGUCACAGUUCUUGCUCAGGAUAAAUUAAUGCUAUCUCAGUCUCCCCGCAUUCAAACUGCACAUUCCUCAGGGGUUUGUGCCUUGCUAAAUUUCCAGUGUAGAAGAAUUCUGUUGCUAUUUGCAAGGACCAGUUAUCUGUAUAAUUAAUGGGAGAUGAGAUGAAGGAAAGGAACAAAGAUAGAUAUCAGGAGGAUUUCUUCACCCUUGUGAUGGUUAAAUUUGGACACAUUUCAUCGUAAUGUGAAUCAUUUGCACCGAUCAAGAUAAGCCAAUUCUUUAUUUAUGCAUUCGAAAACUUGCAUAGCUUAUCUUCAGUUCUUAUAAUACUUUACAAGAAGAAGAAUCGCUAUAGUCUUCUUUAUUGCUGCCUUACUGGAAGCGUGGUUUGGCAAUGACGUGCAGAGGAACUAUCCUGUGCAUUGAGAUGCCAAAAGCUUCAGUAUUAUCUAUAUCACCAGCUUUUAUUCCAGGAGGGAGUUCCCAAUCAAAGCUGUGGAGAAGUUGGGCUAAAGCAAGCUCAACGGUUGCUGUUGCAAAUGUGAUAGCUGGGCAGCUUCUUCUACCAGCUCCAAAAGGUAUCAAUUCAAAACCCUGCCCUUUGAAAUCUAUGCUGCUGCCCAUAAAUCUUUCUGGUUGAAAUGUUUCUGGAUUUUCCCAUUGUUCUGGAUCCCUUCCCAUUGCCCAGACAUUGACAUAAAUUCGUGUUUUGGCGGGGAUAUCGUACCCAUCAAUCACAACAUCUUCCAAGGAUUCUCUUGGGACUAAAACUGGGACAGGAGGAUGUAAUCGGAAGAUCUCUUUGAUCACAGCUUUCAUAUAGUGAAACUGAAGCAGAUCACUCUCUUGCACAACUUUUCUCUCCCCAACAAUGCUUCUUAUUUCAGCUUGUGCUUUUUCCAUGACUCUGGGAUUCAUGAUCAGCUCUGUCAUUGUCCAAUCAAGCGUUAUGAAAGUUGUAUCAGUUCCAGCAGCAAACAUGUCCAAGAUCACAGCUUUAACGUUAUCCAUGGUAAGAGGCGUAUCACUAUCAGAAGAUCCAUUCUUCUGUAUAUCAAGUAAGACAUCUACAAGGUCCUUCUGCUCCUCUAGUUUUCCCUCGGAAUUAUUACGGUGUUCAUUAAUGACCCCAUCGAAGAACUGAUCGAAACGUCUAUAGGUGUUGAUGAGUUUAGACUUCAUUCCUGUUAAGCUGUGCACAAAUUCCAUGGAAGGAAAAUAGUCUCCAAGACUGAAUCCUCCAAGCAGCGCUUGGUAAUCGUCGAGCAUCUUCUGGAAGCCAUGCCGAUCAUACUCCCCUCGUCGUGAGAAGUCCCUUCCAAGAGCCACCCUACAAAGGACAUCAUUUGCAUAUAGUCCAAUCAUCUUGCUUAGAUUGGUGGUGUCAGGAUAAGACUCUCCGAUCCGAGCAACCAAACGAGCAACUUCUUCUUUUCUGACAUAGCCAAAUGAUUGGACUCGCUUGGCACUGAGUAGCUCCAGUAUGCAAAUUUUCCUAAUAUUCCUCCAGUAGGCACCGUAAGGGGCGAACGCAAUAUCAGUGCAAUCGUAGAAUAGGUAUUUGGCUGAAUAUAGUUGAGGUCGGCUACAGAGUGCAAGAUCAUGGGCUUUGAGCACUUGCUUAGCCAAAUUAGAGGAAGAAAUGACAACAGUUGGGAUUUGACCAAGCUGUAAGAAUAUGAUUGGACCAUACUUGUGAGCCAACCGGUGGAGAGAUAUGUGAGGCAUGUUAGCCAGCUGGUGAAGGUUGCCAAUGAAGGGCAACUUUCCAGGCCCUGGUGGGAGAUUGAGGUAUUUUUUCCUUUGUUUUUCCUUCGGUAGAAACCUGAGGACCAUUGCUACAAAGAUGGUCGCUAAAACCAAGGAAGGCUUGAAGCCUAAGUCCUUCAGCCAUUGAUCGAGAGCCAUUAGAGUUGGCUUGAACAAAUAUCAGAGAUUCUAUGCGGGUAAUUAG